AAAAUCUAUUGCAAGAGGCUAUUCAAGAGAAGUUUGCUGUGUUUGGUGAUGUACAGAAAGAUCAUCAAGCCAUAGAUAUUCUUUUAGCUGAAAUAGAUAUAUAUGAACUAUUUGCUUUCAAUCAUUGCAAGGGAAGGAAGGUCAAGCUUGCUCUUUGUGAAGAGCUUGACGAGAGAAUGCAAGAUUUGAAAAAUGAGCUGCAAUCUUUUGAGGGUGAGGGG
rnacentral:misc_RNA from 1 species